rnacentral:rRNA from 1 species
AGCAGCCGCGGUAAUUCCAGCUCCAAUAGCGUAUAUUAAAGUUGUUGCAGUUAAAAAGCUCGUAGUUGAACUUCAGACCUGGCCGGGCGGUCUGCCUAACGGUAUGUACUGUCUGGCUGGGUCUUACCUCUUGGUGAGCCGGCAUGCCCUUUACUGGGUGUGUCGGGGAACCAGGACUUUUACCUUGAGAAAAUUAGAGUGUUCAAAGCAGGCCUAUGCCUGAAUACAUUAGCAUGGAAUAAUAAAAUAGGACGUGCGGUUCUAUUUUGUUGGUUUCUAGAGUCGCCGUAAUGAUUAAUAGGGAUAGUUGGGGGCAUUAGUAUUCAGUUGCUAGAGGUGAAAUUCUUGGAUUUACUGAAGACUAACUACUGCGAAAGCAUUUGCCAAGGAUGUUUUCAUUAAUCAAGAACGAAGGUUAGGGGAUCGAAGACGAUCAGAUACCGUCGUAGUCUUAACCAUAAACUAUGCCGACUAGGGAUCGGAUGAUGUUAAUUUUAUAAUGACUCA